ensembl:snoRNA small nucleolar RNA SNORD19
GAGAAAUGAGGAAAUUCAAAUGUCUUGAGUUCUGGUGAAGACUUCUAAUCCAACUCUGAUCUCUGGCAGAUU